CCUUCGUUCUCGUCCUCGCUAUUGCUUCCAACGACCUCUUUCUUCAGCGUGAAUGUGGACGUGGAAGACUCCUAAGUCGCGUUGCGGUUACCACACGCAGGGGCAGGGCUUUCCGAAGCAGGAAGCUUGAGCCCCGGGUGCAGAACAACCAGGUGUUUAUUCAACCCACAAUUUACAAAUAAAACACAACGAUCUUAUCUAUCACUCUGGUAGAGUCGAGGGAACCCGGACCCUCGCGUGACAACAAGUUUACUCAUACAGAAACACAUCACAAGGAACAAACCAGAAGAUGCCUUAUAAAACAUCAGAAAGGUGCUGAACCUAAAAAAAUCAAAUUGCUGCUGGAAUGAAAUAAGCCUGAACUGGAGAUUAAACUGCCCCCCUGUACUUGUUACUACAUGGUACUUCCCAGAACUUUAAAUUCAUGCUCAGGUACCAUUUGGAGUCUAUUAGCCCGACCGCCCUGCAGAGGAGACCCGACAGAGGCCCCGCCUCCAAUCAAUUCUAGCUGAGGCAGCAACAACAUCCGGCGGAAACCAGACAUCAAUACACUCCAAUAAAACAUGCAACCCUCGGCGUGUGUGUGUCUUAUUCCAUUUUUAAAAGUCUGUACAAGGACCUACCGAUACUAGUACAGGAGAGGGCCACACAUCUGGAGAAAAGGCAGCUGGGACAAUUGUGUCGCUGUUAAAUUACUGCAUCGUUGUUCUAUUCCCCUUUUGCUGCCCCGCUCUCACCCAGUGACCUCAGGGGCUAACCUAGUUCCCGCUACUCGCCAAUGAACAACCAGAUGUCAUCGAUCGGCCCAUUAAUCACAUUACGCACAAUCAAUCCUCUGGCAUCAUCUGGUGAGAGCUGUUGUUGCUGCUCACCAACUAGAUUCACGGUUUCUGGGAUCCACGUGUGUCGGGUUACGAAUAAAUGUGGUUUUGCAGUCUGUCCAACAAAAGCCGAAUUAGAUGUCUGAAAAGCUUAUACAUAAAGUAAAAAUACACAGUAUUGUGGAUAUGAACAGGGAAAUAAACAAGGUGGACGGAAGCUUGAAUAAGUAAAGUAUAAGAACAUGUUGUACAGUCAGUCAGCAAAUCUCCAAAGGCUGCUUUGAAAUGUGUUUUUCUAUAAACCCCCUCUUGGUGGACCUUAA